GUUAUAAUAAAAUCGUCGUUCACACAUGGACUUCAUUUUGCUACCACAGGCGGCCUUCUUCUGCUUCCCGGGACAGGGAAGGCUAGCUUUCCUCUAACCUAGAGUGUGGGCUCUCUCUCGAAUCAUUGGGUUGGCUGUAAAUAGCUUUUGUUGGGCAAGCAGCCAGUGCGUUAAGAAAGAGGUUAUAUUGUAGCUGCUUUGGUUCUAUGGGCAGGUGGCUUCAAUU
rnacentral:misc_RNA from 1 species